GGCCCCCUUUCAAUCUAUGUGUGUAUAUAUAUAUAUAUAUAUAUAUACAAUAAUAGAAUUUAAUUCAAUAAUAAUUAAAUUCAGUUAUUGUAAUUAUAUAACUUGGUAUGCCUAUUAUUGAUUUAAAUUGACGGUGUGUUCGAUUCAUUUUAUACUGGUCACUUUAAUAUGCUAAUUAGUUUAGCCCGCGAAAUGUUAGUCCGUGCAAUUUACCUCGUGUGGUUUGGUCAUUUGAAUUCAAACCUUACACGGAGCUUGACCAAAGCUAUAGAAUUUACCCGCCCUCCCUUUUCCCCAUUAUGAAUAUUUUCUGCUGCUUUUCAUUUAUCGUUUCAGUUUUGGAAGAAUGAUUAUAGAACCAGCGUCAUGGCAUAUAUAACAGACUGAGUUUGGAGCUUUUUUGUAUUGUGAAUGGACAGGCGGAAUUUACUUUAAGCUGCUAUGGACUACCCAGUGGCUCCUGAUAUAACUUUGUUACUGCUGGAUCGCCCUUCAGUAAUUCAAUCGUC
rnacentral:lncRNA from 1 species